GCUUCUCCAUCUGCUCCAGCCGCUCCAGAAUGGACAUUCGGAACUGGUUGUCUGAGGGGAAGAGAACAACAGCCCCUGGGCCCCUCGCCCUGUGUACAGCCCAGCCAGGAUGCAGGCCUAAAACAAGGACCUUUAGCGCUACCCGCCAACCAGGAACCGGAAUCUGGAACCAAAACCCCGUUCUUCAAGACACAGACGGGGCAGGGGUUCCAGCGUGCGACCCCGAGCUGCCCCAGGUCACUCACGCGUGCACACGCUCACGCGCACACACACCCAGCCCUCCAGGUGAGCCCUCCAUCAGCUCUCCCUGCCCCAGAGCAAUCUCUGUCCCCCGCGCUGCGCUGAAGGACUCCGGGGCCCCUCCUAUCUAUCGUCCACUGCCCAAGUGAGCUCGGGGCUUGUGAUUUAAGCACCACCCCUUCCUCCCGGCCCCUCACAGCUGUCCACAGAGAGCAUGGUGGGGCUUGGAGGUGACAAAGAUGGAUCGCCAUGUCCAUUCCUCCUCUUUCUCCCCCACCCGGGGCACAAGAACGCACACACGCGUGCACACGCACGCACGCACACCCCAAGCCAUAUCUGUUCCCUCCUGAGAUCAUGUGAGGACAAGGAGGGGAGGUGGGAGGGGAUCAGAGCCACAGGAAAACAGGCACCCAACGGGGUGGAGGUUGGAGAUGUCCUGCUUGAGAAGCAGGACAGAAAAGGGCUCAGGCCUAGAGCUGAUGGCGGGGAGGAGGGUGGACGGUGAGGUAAAGGGCAGAAGGGACAGGAGAGGAGGAAGAUGUGGCAAAAGAGCACCAGGAAGGAGGGGGGCAGGUGAGGGCAUGGGGCACAGGGAAGCGCGAGGAGGGAGGAGACCCCCCCCCAGGGGGAGACAGGGUGGUGGGGCAGCGCUUUGGCAGGGGCCCCCCAAGGCUGAGACAGCAGGGGGCAAGGGCCCCUGAGGCAAAGCAGUCCUGUGACAGAGGGAGGCGGCAGGCGAGUGCGGCAGGGGUGGCAGCGCAACUGAGAGAAACCCAGAGAAGGGGGACCCCCGGCUGGACGCAGGGGCCGCGGGGACACCGCGCUGAGAGCCACGGGAGGGAGAACCAGGACAGGAACACGCGGGUCUCUGUGUAAGUACGUGUGUGCACACGUGCGUGUUUCUACAGGAAAGCGUGUUAGAGCGUAUUAAAGGUGAACAUCGCAAGGCA